GGGCCCGUGGCGCAGUUGGGAGCGCGUCUGACUGGCAGUCAGAAGGUCAGGGGUUCGAAUCCCCUCGGGUCCACCU
rnacentral:tRNA from 1 species